UAACUCUAGAGAUGUAAAGCCCUCAGAGGGACUGAGGCCAUUUCUUUUUUUACAGCAGAAUGGGGACCUACGGAUAAUUAUUAAGCUAUAUAAAACGAACUUAUAUUUCUUAGACACCUCUAGACGGAGAGAUGAGAUGAAGGAACUCACAGAGCCUGAUUGCUAUGAUUUUAGACGACCAUUACUUGACAAGCCGGGAGAACCCUGCAGUUCCUGACCUUUCAGGAAAUUACCGGAUGUGACGUAAAGUUGUAGAAUACAGUGAAAGUGAAUUUUGUACAACUUCUGAGAAGGGCUUCAAGAUGUCUUGUAGCUUCUGGGCUUGCAUUCUUGGAACAGUGAGACCACAUGGAGAGAGAGGUCAGACAAGAGUUAGCACCGAUCUCCAGAUGCAUGAGUGAAGCUGUUUUGGACCAUCCAGCCCCAGGAUAAAGCCACUCCAAAUCUGGAAAUGCAGAUGGUUUAUCAUUGAAGACAGUGAUCUUAGCUGAAGACGUACCACGGCAUAUCUGCUCCCAUUGCCAAGAGAAUCACGGUUGUGAGAUGCACCACGUGACUUCUGAAUCAUCAACUCUUACAUCUGAUUCCAUGUUCAUGAAGCAACCUCUGAUUAAGAUUUGGCUUCCUAAGUACACCUGCCUAGAGGGACUCAAGGGGCUGAUUAUACAGACUUUGAGUAUAUCCAAUUCUCAUAGAACUGUGCAGUAGCUUCUGAUUACAAUUUGGCAUCCUGUUUAUCUUGACUGCAUGAAGAAACUAAAUUGGUU
rnacentral:lncRNA from 1 species